GUUUCUGUGAUAGGAUUUGUACCCUACAUUAGGACAACACUAAAUUUUCUUCAUGUCUCUUGGAUGUAUGCCUACUUCUGUUUCGAGUACAAGUGGAACCUUCAUAAUUCAGAUCUGGACAAACGGCUGAACUUUUUUGAAUCUAACUGGGCAUUCUUUUUAGGUUUUGGUAAAGUACUUUCUAACUUUAUUAUUGUUUUUGAGUCAGUUUGUCAUAUAUAUUAUCUUCAAUUUCUGCAGGUUAGGAGUGGUUUAUUUAACAUGAGAAUUCAUACUACUUGUUUCACAUGGUUUCUAUUUUAUUGUUUGAUCAAUAAUUGUGACCUCAAUUUUAAAUUGGUAACUUCUAAGUUAUGUGGCCUUCCUAUGUGAA